GAUCACUCCCUCAAAAAAUAGUAGAGAAACAAGAUGGAAGAAAUCUCGGGUUUUAAAUAACACGUGGAGCAGGGCUGUCCUCCUAGACUGGACCACAUAUUGUAACACAAAACCUAAAUAUCACUGGGGAGUAGGUAUCUUUUUCAAGUGGUUUAGAUUUUACCCUAACAAAUACACUCUUCUUUCUUAGGAAGUAAAAAUAAUCCCCAAUUCCCUGGACCCAGCUUGGUGUGGUGUGGUAUGUCUAUGCAGAAAAUUGCACCACAGUUUCUCAAAGUUUUCCUUAGUUCAGGAGUGAUUCAGGGACAGCAGAACAUGAUCAAAGCUACCCACCUUGGGCAAGAGAGCAAAGUCCCCCAUGCCCAGAGCAGUGAAGGAGCAGUAUACCACCUUGCUCUUCACACUCCCAGGGUAGCAUGGGUGUGGCACAGACACCAAAGGGCCAGAAGAGGGGAACAAGGGAGGCUACAACAGUGAUCAGCCAUGACCAGUGACCAGAUACUAGACUGAAAUAAGGAAAGUAUGGCUAAACAAGAACAGUCUAGACCAGAUGAGUGCCCCUCCACACCAUCACUCCUGCCAGUGGGGUGAUAUGCUAGUCAACACUACUUACUUACAAUGGCUAAAUACUACGAACUCCCUCUAGAACUCAAAUACAAGUCCAGGAAGAGGCGUGACUCCAAUCCAGAUUAUGUUUCCACUCCCCUUCCGAUGGGAGUUUGUAAUCAAAAUUGAAAUGUUAUAACAAAAUAAAGAAGUUUUUGUUUCCUGGACAUCUAAGUUGGUCCCCCUUCACUAUGCUGAUAUUGGCUGAACACUUACUGCUUGACAAAGAGAACAGAGCACUAACAAGCAUGAUUUCAUCGGAGCCUCACAGUAAGAGCACCUAUCUGGCAUGCACUUCACGAUUCUGUUUAAGGAUGAGAAAAAUGAGACCUGGAGGAGUUGCACACUGUGGUGAUUCUAUCAACCUCCAUUCCCCUUCUUCUGGCAAACAGUCCCACUGCCUCAGUCCACUCACAGUCCAUGUGGCCUGGGCAGGGGCCCAUGUACAAGACCCCAGACAGAUCAUUACACCCCUGAGCAACUUCGCCAGGGCAGGUAAGGGAUAUAAGUGGGUUCAAAGGGAGUGA
rnacentral:lncRNA from 1 species